rnacentral:rRNA from 1 species
UGAAUGACUCUCGACRACUGAUAUCUUGGCUCUAGCCUCCAAGAACAACGCCGCGAAAUGCGAUACGUGGUGUGAAUUGCAGAAUCCCGUGAAUCAUCGAAUCUUUGAACGCAAGUUGCGCCCAAUGCUAUUUAUAGGCUGAGGGCWSUCCUGCCGUGGUGUCAUUC